rnacentral:lncRNA from 1 species
AGCUUCUGCUCAUCCUCUGCCGAGGGGAAGGGUGAAAUGAGAGGGUCUGAGGUUUCCAUGAUCUUUUUCAACAGUCAUGAUCCCUCGACUAAGGUUCCUUCGUGUCUAAUGCAGCCCCUGAAGCCUGCCAUCUUUAUCCCGAGCUUCCUGGUACCUGGAUGCUGAAGCUUUAACGGCCUCCAGAUCAGCUACCACGUAAAGGUGGUGAGAGCCCAGGAAGAGCCAGUGCUGGGUGAGCAGAGAGGUGAGGCACGCAGCGUCCCAUAGCACCCCCACUUCCUUUUCUGGGGGUUCACAGGGUCCGUCCUUGUGGAUGGCUGCACGGGACACAGGGGAAACCAGGAGUCCUGUGGCCAGUGCCUGGGGUGUGGCCCCCGCUCGGGAUGGGAAGAGCGGGUCUCGUUUGGGCAAACCCUGCUCUGCUUCCUGCUGUGCCCCUUCCUGCCGGAGCACUGAUUUUCAGGGGUGGCCUCGCCAUUUAGUGGCAUCAUCUUUGGCCUCCACAGUCGUAACCUUGGGGGUGCUGCCCGCCCCCCAGAAGAGCAGCAUUGGCUGAACCUAAGAGACUGAGCGGCGAUGAGUGAUGGGGUGACCCUGGACAGGUCACUGCCUUUCCCUUUCCUCCUUCUGAGGGUUCCCGUUGCAAAGUCACCACGGCGUCUCCCAACACUCCUUCUCGCCCUUGUGAUCUGUGAUUUUUAGAGGGGAGACCCCUUGGCCGUUACAAGGAUGGAGUCCUGAGAUGUAUUACACUGACGGACACAGAGCCCCACCCACUCAGAGGCAGAAAGAUAAACUGGUGAUGCGGAUGUCACCAUUACAGCAAAAGCUAGUUUAUUCGACAGGCAAUUGCUCAGAAGUUUUCAGGUUGACAAGGACCAAUAUUCUGAGUCAUGACCUGAGGCUGAGACCCCGACCCCCAGAACCAAAAAUGCUCCAUGAUGCUGAGUGGAGUUCUAACGCAGAGCUGAGCUGGCAGCUGUGCCCGGGACCUGGCCAGGCGGACAAAGAAGCCGCGCUGGGGUCUGGAGACAGGGGUCCAAAAGUCUCCUAGACUGGCGAGUGGUACCAGACUGGCCUCUUCCGGUGCUUCUCUGUCUGCCUCUCUCAGGCGGAAAUCUGAAGUCCCGCCAACCCGAGGAGGGGCAGGACAUGCACCCAGUCAUUGCUGCAGGCCCCCUCCAGUUUCAGACCCAUGACUUUUCUCGCCCUCAAACUGCUGCUUGCUUCUGCUUGGUUCCGCGGUGCUCCCGUGCACCUGGACCUGCAAGAGCACACGGCCACCACGUCCCGGCACAAUGACCGCCAGCAUCAUCUUGCGUUCAGCCAGCUAGAUCAUACGCUGGGGCCCCAAGCGCAAAGCUCUCUGUUGCGUGGCCUCCCCUUUCCCUUCCGCUUGCCUUCGGUUCAGAGAUCUUCAACAUCAAAAGCGACACCAUCGAAAGUGACCCAUGCGGCACCUUGACGUCUCUCCACCUUGAGUAAACACGUCUUCGAAAAAGGCCUUGGAAGACGACUGUUGGUUUCGGCAGUGCCUUUUCGAGGGUAUUAAGACGGGCCAGGAAAACAGAGAGCAGCCUGGAAAGGAGGACUCUCCAUGCCGACAGGAAAGGUUUCACUGCAACCACCAGCGCCGAGUAGGCGACCAGGCGGUCCCGCGGCCGAAGGAUGAUCUUGGUGGGCGGCAGGCGGAGGGGGCUUCCCCGAAGCAUGAAGUAGCCAAAGGCUCCGAGGCACCCGGCACCCAGGAUGCGAAUCCGUGUCACCCCGCGGGAAACACCAGGCAGGGCACAAACCAGAAGGGGUACCGAAAACUCGCGACUUUCACCAUGUCCAGAGAGGAGCGGAAGACGAAAGGGGCGACGGCAAAGCAACAAUGGUGUCAUUUGACAGACACAAAGCGACCUCUCACAGGUCGUCUUAAAAUAGGAGGAUGCACAGAAGGCAGAGGAGGGAGAGGGAAAUGCCACGAGCAGGAGACCCUCGGAGACCUACGACUGUGCCCAAGAGACGGGAGGUCUUUCUUGAGUCGGGCUUAUCAAGGUUCAACUUGCAUUCAGCAAAAGCCCUCGUUUUAAGGGCGUAGUUCUUUGAGGUUGGACAAAGGCCUGCGGACCUGUAGCCACCACCCCAGCCAAAUACGGCAUCUUUGCCACCAUUCUGUUCCCCUUGGAGCCAGUCCCCUCCCCCAGCUCCAGGCGAUCAGGGAUCUGCUUUCUGUCGUUCUGUCCCUGUAGCUUUGUCUUUCCCAAAACAUCAUGUAAGCAGUACCAGGCAGCGUGUCACCUGUCGCGUGGUGCAUAAUGCUAUCGAGAGUCACCCACGUGAUCACACGUGUCAGGAACUCAAGCCUCUUCAAUCCCGAGUGACAGUUCAUGGCACAGAUGCACCACAGUGGAUCCGCUACCAGUUAACGGCCAUCUGGGUUGUGUCCAGGUUUUCGCAAUUAUAAGUGAAGCUGCCAUAAACCCUCGUGAGCAGGGGUUUGUGUGGAACUGAGUUUCAAUGGCACACAGUAAACGCGUGUUCAACAUUGUAAGAAACCACCGGAGCUCCCCCUGUGAUGCAACAGAAUCAGCGGCGUCUUGGGAGCCCUGGGAGGCAGGGCUGAUCCCUGGCCCAGCACCGCGGGUUAAGGAUCUGGUGAUGCUGCAGCUGCGCAACUGUGUCUCGGAUCUGAUCCCUGUCCCCGGAACUCCAUAGGCUGUGGGCGGACAAAAAAGAAAAAAAAAAAAA